AACCGAUGAACAACGUCAUUCCGGAAGGUCUUACUCCGAACGACAGGCGCGGAGGUGUGUCCGCAGGGCGAUUCAAACAAGGCGAUACGCCGGAGAGAUUCUGUUAUCACCUUCUAAGCAACGCACGCUCCCAUUGUUCGUUCGACGAUAUUUCUCUUCCUCUUCGGAGUGGCCAGUAUGCAUACAUAUAAGAGAUCACGUACAUACGUACCAAGAGAACAGAUCCGAUAAUGUUUUUCCGAGAGCAGCUGCGUCUUUUCCGUUGAGCAAGAGCGCCACGGCGGGACGAAAAACGCGCUGGAAGAAGAGACAUACAAAGGAACGGAUGCGAAAGAGUUCAUGGCGGAGGCUUCAGAAAUGAAUCUGAAGAGGGUUCGAGGAGAACGGUAAGGCGAUGCAAGAUUGCAACACUCUUCUGGGAGCGCUCGCUGGGCCAUCCACGUGGAUCUCUUCGAAUUUUUAGAGGCUAUCGAAAAGUUGAUUGGAUAGGAAAAAAAAGAGGAGCUUUUGGCGAUCGAUUUUCAAGUGAAACGCGAUGGAACGAACGAAAUCUUCGGUCAACGUCCUAUUAUCGAUCUACAAUGCAAAUAUCUAACGACGUUGGCGUUAAACGUAGUAUCAUGGCAAGACUUCGAACAGAUUCUCUCUCUUUUUCUCUCUCUCUCUCUCUCUCUCUCUCUCUCUCUCCCUCUUUCUCUCAUUCCAAUAAAAAACUAUUUUUCCUUCUUGUUUUACUUCAAGUUCCGUAACAACUUUUUUGUAUGUGAGAAUCUAACUAUUGGAGAAAGUGAAUUGAAGAGAAAUCUGACAAGACAAUUAAGUCAAAAGUAUUUGGCGAGAAGAAAAGUCAUUCUUUUCUCAGUAAUUCAUCAUAGCAUAGUAUAUAAGUAUUUCCAGUUAUUCACUUAGAUUCAUUUAUCAGAUAUACGUGAAUACCAAUACUUUCAUAUUUUCUAUGAAUGAUGUAUAUAUCUAGCGAUCGAAAGCUUUUAUUUCUUCGUAUUGAAUAACGAUGAAGAGACAUUCUUUGGUAACAUAUUCUGACGAAUGUAUCCGAUUGUCCGAUUAGCCUACCACUUCUUCGAGCUAUUUUUAUAUUUUCGUUGUUCUUUGCCAAAGUUCUGAAAAAAAGAGAAAGAAAAAGAAGAAAAAGAAGAGGAACCUUCGGUGUCCCUCGAAGGGCUUCAUGUGACAUUCCAAACGUCCUCGUGCCUCUUGAGAGAAAAGGCGCGGAGGCCAACGCCCAAUUUGCAACCUACGGGACGCCGGAACGGAAUUGAAAUAGUCCAGUGGGAGUGGGCGUCCCUCUUCCACAAGACUAGUCCUAGAACGGACAAUUGUUUCGCCACUCCUAAACGAACGAAGCACACAUACGCGGGAGGUUAACGACACCCGGCCUGUCGAAACACUCGACUGAAUAUCAUUUCGUUGGCCGCGGGAGCCAACGCAACGUUACGAACCUUUUUUUCUUAUAUACACCUCAACUCUUUUCUUUGUCCAUCUACAUCACGUCAUUAUCGUCAUCGACUUUGUCGUCGUUAUCGUCAUGGGCAAAUACCAAUUUAUC